rnacentral:rRNA from 1 species
UGACCGCUGGCGGCAGGCCUAACACAUGCAAGUCGACCGGUAACAGGAAGCAGCUUGCUGCUUCGCUGACGAGUGGCGGACGGGUGAGUAAUGUCUGGGAAACUGCCUGAUGGAGGGGGAUAACUACUGGAAACGGUAGCUAAUACCGCAUAACGUCGCAAGACCAAAGAGGGGGACCUUAGGGCCUCUUGCCAUCGGAUGUGCCCAGAUGGGAUUAGCUAGUAGGUGGGGUAACGGCUCACCUAGGCGACGAUCCCUAGCUGGUCUGAGAGGAUGACCAGCCACACUGGAACUGAGACACGGUCCAGACUCCUACGGGAGGCAGCAGUGGGGAAUAUUGCACAAUGGGCGCAAGCCUGAUGCAGCCAUGCCGCGUGUAUGAAGAAGGCCUUCGGGUUGUAAAGUACUUUCAGCGGGGAGGAAGGGAGUAAAGUUAAUACCUUUGCUCAUUGACGUUACCCGCAGAAGAAGCACCGGCUAACUCCGUG